UACGUAGGGUGCGAGCGUUAAUCGGAAUUACUGGGCGUAAAGCGUGCGCAGGCGGUUCGUUGUGUCGGCGGUGAAAGCCCCGGGCUCAACCUGGGAAUGGCCGUUGAAACUGGCGAACUGGAGUGUGGCAGAGGGGGGUGGAAUUCCGCGUGUAGCAGUGAAAUGCGAAGAGAUGCGGAGGAACACCGAUGGCGAAGGCAGCCCCCUGGGCUGACACUGACGCUCAGGCACGAAAGCGUGGGGAGCAAACAGG
rnacentral:rRNA from 1 species